rnacentral:rRNA from 1 species
AUUGAACGCUGGCGGCAGGCUUGACACAUGCAAGUCGAGCGGGGUGAAGUGCUUCGGUACUGAUCCUAGCGGCGGACGGGUGAGUAAUGCUUAGGAAUCUGCCAUUUAGUGGGGGACAACAUUCCGAAAGGGAUGCUAAUACCGCAUACGUCCUACGGGAGAAAGCAGGGGAUCUUCGGACCUUGCGCUAAAUGAUGAGCCUAAGUCGGAUUAGCUAGUUGGUGGGGUAAAGGCCUACCAAGGCGACGAUCUGUAGCGGGUCUGAGAGGAUGGUCCGCCACACUGGGACGGAGACACGGCCCAGACUCCUACGGGAGGCAGCAGUGGGGAAUAUUGGACAAUGGGCGGAAGCCUGAUCCAGCCAUGCCGCGUGUGUGAAGAAGGCCUUUUGGUUGUAAAGCACUUUAAGCGAGGAGGAGGCUACCUAGAUUAAUACUCUGGGAUAGUGGACGUUACUCGCAGAAUAAGCACCGGCUAACUCUGUGCCAGCAGCCGCGGUAA